GCUACAGACCAGAUACAACAACCUGACUGAAGAGAGAGACCAGCUACAGACCAGAUACAACAACCUGACUGAAGAGAGAGACCAGCUACAGACCAGAUACAACAACUGACUGAAGAGAAAGGCCAUAUUCAGCUAAAGCUUUUUGUGAUAGAGCAGCAUUGUCAGGAGGGAUGGAGAUACUUUGACUCCAGUUUGUACUUCCUGUCUACUAAAGAAGAAAACCUGGGAGAAGAGCAGACAGGACUGUCUGGAUAGAGGAGCAGACCUGGUGAUCAUAAACAGCAGAGAGGAACAGACAUUUGUCUUCAACCUCCACCUGAGAGCCUGGAUUGGUCUGACUGACUGUUACUGAGGGGAUCUGGAAGUGGGUGGACGGCACAACACUGACCACAGGGUACUGGAGCGCAGGACAGCCUGAUGAUAAUGGGAAAGAGGACUGUGUUGAGAUAUACUAUGGACAAGAUGACCCUGUAAAGACAUGGAAUGAUGAAAAUUGUCACAAAUAUCAUGACUGGAUAUGUGAGAAAGUGGUAUAACGAUAAUCCACAGUAACAAACAUUCUCUCUCUCUGUCUCUCUCUCUCUCUCUCUCUCUCUCUCAAUUCAAGGCCUUUAUUGUCAUGGGAAACAUAUGUUAACAUUGCCAAUGCAAGUGAAGUAGAUAAUAUACAGAAGUGAAAUAAACAAUAAAAAUGAACAGUAAACAUUACACUCACAGAGGUUCCAAAAGAAUAAAGACAUGUCAAACGGCGCCCCACAUCAAAAUAUUUUUCAACCAGCACAGACUUUGUAAAAUCACAAAUAUCGGUUAAAUAUUAACUUACUUUUUAAAAAUCUUCCUCUGAUUUGCAAUCCAAAGGGUCCCAACUACAACAUGUAUGGUCGUUAUGCAAGAUAAAAUCCUUCUUUAUAUCCCAAAAAGUCAGUUUAGUUGGAACCAUCGAUUUGAGUAAUCCACUCGUUCAACAUGCAGAGAAAGGAAUCCUAAAAGCUACGGCUAAACUUUGUUAAAACAAGUCCAAAUACGUUUCUAUUGAAUCCUCAGAUACCCUAAAAUGUAAUUCAACUAUAACAUUUCAUACGGAAAGUAGUAUGUUCAAUAGAAAAGCUAAAUUAGCAGGUGCGCGUCUUCUUCGUCACGCACCAGUCUGAUUUCCAACUCUGACUCCCAGUACUAAAACUCAAAAGUCUUCCUUGUUUGGGAAAAAACAAAACUGAAACCUUGAACAACGACUGUUGAUAUCUAGUGGAAGCCAUAGGAAUUGCAAUCUAUGAGCUGGAUUUGUAUACGACCCUAUUACCUUCCAUUGUAAGAGCAUGGGCUCUCAAAAAAAAAAUACAUUCUGUUUGGAUUUUCUUUGGAUUUUCUCCUACCAUAUCUAUUGUGUUAUAGUCUCAUACAUUAUUUUAACAUUUCUCCAAACUUCAAAGGGUUCUCCAUCCAAUGGUACCACUUAUAUGCUUAUCCUGGCUUCUGGGCCGGAGUAACAGGCAGUUUACUUUGGGCACGUCAGUCAGGCGGAAAUUCAGAAAAAAAGACCCUAGCCUGAAGAAGUGAUGAUUCCACCUUCUGGUUAAAGUGAGAGAUGAACUCAACAUAGAGGUGAAAUUGAGACUCUGUCUCAAAACACAUUGGAGAACAGAAUCCAGGGGGACUGACCUUGGACCUUCUCUAAUAGGGUUGAAAGGAGGAGAGGAGGUAGGAGAGGAAUCUAGGAAAAAAUAAUUGAGAUAUAGCCUUAGUGUCAGAGAGAGACAUAGAGGAGGAAGAAAAUUAAGAGUGAGGAAGAGAGCAAAAAUAAUAUGAAUAAUUGUUGUGUUUAGAUUAAGAGGAGAGUAUGUAGACAUACUGUACUCUGUAAAAUGAUUCUUCAUUGGUUUUAUUAGAAACAUGUCAUGUGAUUUGCCAUAGACUUAUGCUUAGUAAAAAAAAGUGGAACCAAUUAUGAACCAAUGCUUAUCACUUUAGUGAUAUGAAUAGCCAAGUCACUUUUGAAUAAAAAAAGGAACAAUUGUCUUUAAUUAA